AACGCUAGCUACAGGCUUAACACAUGCAAGUCGAGGGGCAGCGCAGUGUAGCAAUACAUGGGCGGCGACCGGCGCACGGGUGCGUAACGCGUAUCCAACCUUCCCGUUACUCAGGGAUAGCCUUCCGAAAGGGAGAUUAAUACCUGAUGGUGUUGAAAUUCCGCAUGUUAUUUCAACUAAAGAUUUAUCGGUAACGGAUGGGGAUGCGUGACAUUAGGUAGAUGGCGGGGUAACGGCCCACCAUGCCUACGAUGUCUAGGGGUUCUGAGAGGAAGGUCCCCCACACUGGAACUGAGACACGGUCCAGACUCCUACGGGAGGCAGCAGUGAGGAAUAUUGGUCAAUGGGCGAGAGCCUGAACCAGCCAAGUAGCGUGAAGGAUGACUGCCCUAUGGGUUGUAAACUUCUUUUAUAAAGGAAUAAAGUGCUCCACGUGUGGAGCUUUGUAUGUACUUUAUGAAUAAGGAUCGGCUAACUCCGUGCCAGCAGCCGCGGUAAUACGGAGGAUCCGAGCGUUAUCCGGAUUUAUUGGGUUUAAAGGGAGCGUAGAUGGAUGUUUAAGUCAGCUGUGAAAGUUCGGGGCUCAACCUCGGAAUUGCAGUUGAUACUGGAUGUCUUGAGUACAGUUGAGGUAGGCGGAAUUCGUGGUGUAGCGGUGAAAUGCUUAGAUAUCACGAAGAACUCCGAUUG
rnacentral:rRNA from 1 species